rnacentral:tRNA from 2 species
GGGGAUGUAGUUCAGAUGGUUAGAAUGCCUGUCUGUCACGCAGGAGGUCGCCGGUUCGAUCCCGGUCAUUCCCGCCA